UACGAAGGGGGCUAGCGUUGUUCGGAAUUACUGGGCGUAAAGCGUGCGCAGGCGGCUUCUCAAGUCAGGGGUGAAAGCCCAGAGCUCAACUCUGGAAUUGCCUUUGAGACUGAGUGGCUUGAGUACGAGAGAGGUGAGUGGAAUUCCCAGUGUAGAGGUGAAAUUCGUAGAUAUUGGGAAGAACACCGGUGGCGAAGGCGGCUCACUGGCUCGUAACUGACGCUCAUGCACGGACAGCGUGGGGAUCAAACAGG
rnacentral:rRNA from 1 species